rnacentral:rRNA from 1 species
AGCGAACGCUGGCGGCAGGCUUAACACAUGCAAGUCGAACGCCCCGCAAGGGGAGUGGCAGACGGGUGAGUAACACGUGGGAACGUACCCUUUGGUUCGGAAUAACUUGGGGAAACUCAAGCUAAUACCGGAUAAGCCCUUAUGGGGAAAGGUUUACUGCCGAAGGAUCGGCCCGCGUCUGAUGAGCUAGUUGUUAAGGUAAUGGCUCACCAAGGCGACGAUCAGUAGCUGGUCUGAGAGGAUGAUCAGCCACACUGGGACUGGGACACGGCCCAGACUCCUACGGGAGGCAGCAGUGGGGAAUAUUGGACAAUGGGGGCAACCCUGAUCCAGCCAUGCCGCGUGAGUGAUGAAGGCCUUAGGGUUGUAAAGCUCUUUUACCCGGGACGAUAAUGACUGUACCGGGAGAAUAAGCCCCGGCUAACUUCGUGCCAGCAGCCGCCGUAA